UAGGGAAUAUUGCACAAUGGGGGAAACCCUGAUGCAGCGACGCCGCGCGAAGGAAGAAGUAUCUCGGUAUGUAAACUUCUAUCAGCAGGGAAGAAAGUGAAGGUACCUGACUAAGAAGCCCCGGCUAACUACGUGCCAGCAGCCGCGGUAAUACGUAGGGGGCAAGCGUUAUCCGGAUUUACUGGGUGUAAAGGGAGCGUAGACGGAGGAGCAAGUCUGAAGUGAAAGCCCGUGGCUCAACUGCGGGAUUGCUUUGGAAACUGUUCAUCUAGAGUGUCGGAGAGGUAAGCGGAAUUCCUAGUGUAGCGGUGAAAUGCGUAGAUAUUAGGAGGAACACCAGUGGCGAAGGCGGCUUACCGGACGGUAACUGACGUUGAGGCUCGAAAGCGUGGGGAGCAAACAGGAUUAGAUACCC
rnacentral:rRNA from 1 species